rnacentral:snRNA from 1 species
AGAUGCGAGGGUGAUCUGGCUGUGACGUCUGUCACUCCAUUGAUUACCAGGAUUGAUUCAGCUGAUCUGGCUGGCUAGGCGGGUGUCCCCCUCCUCUCACCCAUCCAUGUGUGUCCCUCAAGAAGCUGCAGAUGUGUGCUCCAUCAGAAGAGGAUGACCUUCCCCCCAGAGGAGAGAACUGGUCUUUGGUCAAGGGUAUAUGAGUAGCUGCACUCCCCUGCUAGAACCUCUAAACAAGCUCUCAAAAAUAACGUUUGUAUGUGAAUUUGAACCAAUAAUAUAAUAUAAAUACCAGAAAAGGCUAAUCUGAUUGUCUUGUUUC